CCUACGGGCGGCUGUAGUGGGGAAUAUUGGACAAUGGGGGGAACCCUGAUCCAGCCAUGCCGCGUGUGUGAAGAAGGCCCUCGGGUUGUAAAGCACUUUCAGUGAGGAAGAACGCCUGGUGGUUAAUACCCAUCAGGAAAGACAUCACUCACAGAAGAAGCACCGGCUAACUCCGUGCCAGCAGCCGCGGUAAUACGGAGGGUGCGAGCGUUAAUCGGAAUUACUGGGCGUAAAGCGCGCGUAGGUGGCUUGAUAAGCCGGUUGUGAAAGCCCCGGGCUCAACCUGGGAACGGCAUCCGGAACUGUCAAGCUAGAGUGCAGGAGAGGAAGGUAGAAUUCCCGGUGUAGCGGUGAAAUGCGUAGAGAUCGGGAGGAAUACCAGUGGCGAAGGCGGCCUUCUGGACUGACACUGACACUGAGGUGCGAAAGCGUGGGUAGCAAACAGGAUUAGAUACCCCAGUAGUC
rnacentral:rRNA from 1 species